rnacentral:rRNA from 1 species
AUGAUGUGUCCUGAAAUAGAAGUAGAGCCACCAGCGCCUAACGUUGCCAAUGAAUUUAAUCCAAAUGCAAUUGAGCGCGAUCCGGGAAAGAGGAAACAAAUUUGUGAGUACAUCUCCUUGAUUGUGACUACAACAACAACAUCUUGCAAGAGAAGGGAUGCAUUGACCGAGUCACAACACCAAGAUAUUCUGGAUAGACUUGAGAGUGGUGAGAUAUCUACUGGAAGGGGCUUGCACCAAUCAUCUACUCUUGCUAGACCGGGGGAUACUAGAUGGGGUGCCUAG